GCGCUUAACGCGUGGGCGACCGGCGGAAACUGUUCGGCUUGGGGCCGGAAGACCUGAGGGGUACGUCCGGGGUAGGAGUGAAAUCCUGUAAUCCUGGACGGACCGCCGGUGGCGAAAGCGCCUCAGGAAGACGGACCCGACAGUGAGGGACGAAAGCUGGGAUCUCGAACCGGAUUAGAUACCCGGGUAGUCCCAGCCGUAAACGAUGCCCGCUAGGUGUGGCGCAGGCUACGAGCCUGUGCUGUGCCGUAGGGAAGCCGAGAAGCGGGCCGCCUGGGAAGUACGUCCGCAAGGAUGAAACUUAAAGGAAUUGGCGGGGGAGCACUACAACCGGAGGAGCCUGCGGUUCAAUUGGACUCAACGCCGGACAUCUCACCAGCACCGACAGCAGUGAUGACGGUCAGGCUGAUGACCUUACUCGACGCUGCUGAGAGGAGAUGCAUGGCCGCCGUCAGCUCGUACCGUGAGGCGUCCUGUUAAGUCAGGCAACGAGCGAGACCCGCACCCUUAGUUGCCAGCAGCACCCAUGUGGUGGCUGGGUACACUAGGGGGACUGCCGCUGCCAAAGCGGAGGAAGGAACGGGCAACGGUAGGUCAGUAUGUCCCGAAUGUGCUGGGCUACACGCGGGCUACAAUGGCCGGGACAGUGGGAUGCGACUCCGAGAGGAGAAGCUAAUCUCCUAAACCCGGUCGUAGUUCGGAUUGAGGGCUGAAACUCGCCCUCAUGGAGCUGGAUUCGGUAGUAAUCGCAUGUCAGCAGCGUGCGGUGAAUACGUCCCUGCCCCUUGCACACAA
rnacentral:rRNA from 1 species